AUGCCGUCGAUCAUGCCUCGUUGUGAGCUGCGGGAACGCUUCCAGUUCAAGGCGUUUGUGUUCCAUGAUACAUCCACAGGAAGCUACAUCGUGGUGCUCAUCCACAGGCCGUACACUCACCUCUCCUUUGCGAGAGUUGGGGAUGACAAGUGGACGUUGCUGGAACCACACUAUGACUACCAGGACUGCACCUACAAGGAUGGGUUGCUGUAUGCAACGAGUACGAUGGGAGAAAUUCAUGCCUUCGAUCUUAGUUGUCCUGAUGUUACAAUGAAGAUUAUCAAGGGGAGGGAUGCGGGCUUUGAUCUCGAUGUUGUACACAUGUUCAGGCUCCAUGGGGUGGUCUGCUGGUUGUUUCAAGAUUAA
rnacentral:rRNA from 1 species